AUAGCCACUCCCACACACGGCACACACACCUUGCAGAGUGCAGCAGUCAAGCUAUCCUUCUCAAGUCCACAGCUACUCAUCACAAUGUGCAAGUGGUCGUCCGGUUGCGGAUCAAGUUCUACAUUCAACUGCAAGAACUGCGGCACCCAGAUGUGCAAACAAUGCAAACGCAACAUUGCGGAUGGCACACCAACACUGCAAGGCAAUUCUGCUGCAUGUGGCAAGUGCAAGAAGAAUUACUGACCAGCUGAUUGGAGUGCGUUGAGGGCUGAGAAGAUGCUGAGACAGAAUGCCUGCUUGAUGUGCUAGUGAUUGCUGCAAGGAUGGCUGUUGAUGUCGGUUGCACGUUCUUGCUGGGCUGCGCAUUGUGGUUGGUUAGUUGAGUAGUUGAUGGGCUAAUAGAAUGGCAAGCGAGUAGAUGUGUACAAGUGUGUACAUGCAUGUCUGACAUGAGCAAACAU